GGUCGGGGCUCACCCGAGGGUUUCCCUUCGCCGGUUGAGCGGGAGCCGGGGCAAUGCAGAAGCUGCUCCGGAGGCCCCGGCGGGUUCCCAGCCGAGCCCGGGGUCACCGGCAUGUUAAAGGAUCCCAGCUCCAGAGGUUCGGGGAAGUGGGCAGGGCGUACGGAUUCCACAUCUCUGAGGUUUGCAGCCUAGUCGUCUCCUCUCAGUCAUCGCUCCCUUUCGCUGGCCUCUCGACGCUCUCCCAUCUCUCAAAGGAAAUAUUAUAGUGGCGCAGAGAGUUGCAUGUGUUGAAUCUUGAAAUACUUUUCUGCUCGUCAUCUCCAAACAAGAAACUUCUAGUUCAGGGACUCUCCUUGCAGUUGUGUUCUCUAUUGCUGUGGCAGCCUAUGGAGAGGAAAUAAAUAGGACAAAAAGGUGCAACGCUUGUAGCAUCGCUACAAGGCAAAUAGCUCGGUGUGCAGUUCUCUUUGGACUGUACUGACCUUAGCAGUAGAAAAAGCAACCUUCUAGAGAGGUGCCAACAGCAGUGUCAGCAUCCCACCACAUCCCAGGUGGAUACGAGCACACGGUGCCGCUGUGCCUUGGCCCACAUGUACAGUGUCAAAAUCAAAGCAGUGCUACCGCGUACAUGAUCGGGCUGGGCACAAGUCUGGCAGCAGUGGUUAAGAAACCGUGGUUUUCAUUGAAUUGCAGACACUCAAUAAUCGAGUUAUCCUUUGACGGGUUUAGAAUCAGAAAAGUCUCCGUAAGAUUGGUUAAGCUACUUCUACAGUACGUAUUUCCCAAUUUGGGGGAAAAAAAUACAUAAAAAAAAGCUAGAAACUAAACAGGAAGAAGUUUGCUGACCAUUUAAACUUUGGGAAAAUUAUGUCUUAUUUUAAUCAUAAUGAAAAAAAAAUUCACCACUAAUACACCACGUUAUCCGCACUAAUAUUUUUCAUUCUGAUUUUUUGUUAGAAAAAACCUGCUAAUGAAAACACAGAACUACUUUCCUAGAAUUUUGAUAAAAUCAUACACACACUCACCGAGUACCACAUGUGAGUAAUAUUUCAGUUAUCCUACUGAUGUCACUGAGAUGGAAUUAAAAGUGCUGAAAUUUUCAGUGAUGGAUAUUUCACCGCAGCUGUGAGCAAUGUGUUCCUCAGAGACUGUAAUUCUCCCAGGGCAAUGUUAAACCCUUGGACUUGCAUCUUAUUAGUAAAAUAAUACAAUUUAAAAAUAGUAUCAAAAGAGAUCUAGCCAAGAAACUUAGCCCUGUGUACAUUUCAGUUUGUCUAUAAAUUAAUCUCUUAAAUUAUAAAUAAAUGUGCUUUUUACACAUA